CACUGACCUGCUGCUCUGUGGCUCUCAUCAUUCCCCCUUGGCCUCCUGUCUUGCUCCAGCUGCCCCAUAUCUCUUGUAAGGAGUCCUCUGCUUCUCCUGGGAAAGUGCUCCGGAAAACACUAGUAAUUGGUUGCAAUGGGGCUCGUCAGUCAGAAUUACAGUCAGCAUAAGAAGGUGCUUAGAUUCCACCUGAAACAGCUGCCAAAAAAGAAGACCGUGAAGCAGUUUCCAAAGCUGGCUGCAGGGGUUAAACCCCU